CAGCCGUAAACGAUGUGCGUUAGGUGUAUCGACGACCACGAGUUGUCGAGGUGCCGAAGGGAAACCGUGAAACGUACCGCCUGGGAAGUACGGUCGCAAGGCUGAAACUUAAAGGAAUUGGCGGGGGAGCACCACAACAGGUGGAGCCUGCGGUUUAAUUGGAUUCAACGCCGGACAUCUCACCGGAUAAGACAGCUGAAUGAUUGUCAAUCUGAAGGUUUUACAUGACUAGCUGAGAGGAGGUGCAUGGCGUCAGUGACU
rnacentral:rRNA from 1 species